UCCGCGGUAGCUCAGCUGGUAGAGCAAUCGGCUGUUAACCGAUCGGUCGUUGGUUCGAGUCCAACCCGCGGAGCCA
rnacentral:tRNA from 1 species